CCUACGGGUGGCAGCAGUGGGGAAUUUUGGACAAUGGGCGCAAGCCUGAUCCAGCCAUGCCGCGUGCGGGAAGAAGGCCUUCGGGUUGUAAACCGCUUUUGGCAGGAACGAAACGGCGACUCCUAAUACGGGUCGUUAAUGACGGUACCUGCAGAAUAAGCACCGGCUAACUACGUGCCAGCAGCCGCGGUAAUACGUAGGGUGCAAGCGUUAAUCGGAAUUACUGGGCGUAAAGCGUACGCAGGCGGCUUUGCAAGACAGGUGUGAAAUCCCCGGGCCUAACCUGGGAACUGCAUUUGUGACUGCAUGGCUAGAGUUUGUCAGAGGGGGGUGGAAUUCCACGUGUAGCAGUGAAAUGCGUAGAGAUGUGGAGGAACACCGAUGGCGAAGGCAGCCCCCUGGGAUGUGACUGACGCUCAUGUACGAAAGCGUGGGGAGCAAACAGGAUUAGAUACCCUGGUAGUC
rnacentral:rRNA from 1 species